ACUUCCUUGUUGUGAUUAGUCGAAGUAAGUAGUAAAUAUAAAAUAAACAAUGGAUGAUAUAUAACCGUAAUUCUUAUUUCGUGUUUUUUUUUUCUCUCUCAAAAACCCAGCAUCAAUUGUGAAAUCUUAAAACAACUGUAUUAUGAUAUAUAUUCAACAUGAAUCAAAGCUUUCAUGUUGUAGAUUUACAUGGGUAACGAAAGCAGUUCAAUGUCGUGCCAUCGUCUAUAAAUCAUCACUUGUUCUUUUAUUUUAUUAUCACUUAGUGACUUUUAAAUGAUGGCACUGGAUUUUGGUUUGUAUUUUUUGAUAACACAGUAGGUAAUGAAAUUAUUAUGUGCUAUUAUCUAUACUUAUUGCUUAGAUUCAUGAUCGUCUACUAAAACGUUCGCCUUUCACAGCUGUAUUUUAGCAUUUAAGGUACCAAAGGAGUAGUAGCCGUUUUAAACACACAUUCAAAAUCACAUACGUUCAUUCUGGUCGGUUGCCUAUAGCGGCGAACGGUAGUUACACUGAUGAAUAGAAUUUUUAACUGUUCGGACAUAAUAUAUUUACUCGAUUAUGCCGUUUGCUAAAUAUUUUGUGUAUUUUAAAUUUUACUUUUUACUAAGCCAUGUUAACCGGAUUUGUUUUCUCUAAAUCGAUGUAUAACCUUUGAACAGCGAUAUAUUACUGUUGUCUUUUUUACUCAUACUGUAACGGGCCGUUAUGAACAAACAUUCACUAAAAACAAAGUAAGGACAACUAUUAUUUCUAAACUUUAUAUAAUGGUUUUAAGUCUCAAGAACUUUCUUCAAUCUUAUCCUUCGUGAUAUUUUAUCAUGUUUUAACUCGUUCUCAGCACAAGCAUCAUGAAAGACAUCAAUUUCAAAAUAAAUAAAUGCGUUAUUUACAUCAAUCUCCCUUCAACUUUCCCUUUAUCAUGUUUAUCGAAUACUUACCGCGGAUGUUUCAUUAGGGAGAAUUAUCUCUGAGUUUAUUGUUUCUUGGUCUGUUUUAUUGACAUAUUUACUUGUCUUCUUCUAGUUAUCGAACCAUAAUGGAGACAUCCAAAAGAAUUAAAUCUGAAGAUGGAGAAGAAAACUUGUCGAAGAUAUCGUUAUCCGCUUUCCAUUUCCCGGAUUUAACAAUCAAAGUUGGCAAUGAAAAGCUUUAUGUCAACCGAGACCAGCUAAUGGCAGAGUCGCCAGUUUUCAGGACCAUGCUGACGUGAAACUUUAAGGAAAAGAACGCUCUUCUGAUUAAAAUUCCAGAUAAAGACCCAACAACAUUUGCACUUUUUCUAAGACACACAUUACCUGGUUUCAAUGGAUUGAUUUUGUCUG
rnacentral:lncRNA from 1 species